ACUCCUACGGGAGGCAGCAGUGGGGAAUAUUGGACAAUGGGCGAAAGCCUGAUCCAGCCAUGCCGCGUGUGUGAAGAAGGUCUUCGGAUUGUAAAGCACUUUAAAGUUGGGAGGAAGGGCAGUUACCUAAUACGUGAUUGUUUUGACGUUACCGACAGAAUAAGCACCGGCUAACUCUGUGCCAGCAGCCGCGGUAAUACAGAGGGUGCAAGCGUUAAUCGGAAUUACUGGGCGUAAAGCGCGCGUAGGUGGUUAGUUAAGUUGGAUGUGAAAUCCCCGGGGCUCAACCUGGGGAACUGCAUUCAAAACUGACUGACUAGAGUAUGGUAGAGGGUGGUGGAAUUUCCUGUGUAGCGGUGAAAUGCGUAGAUAUAGGAAGGAACACCAGUGGCGAAGGCGACCACCUGGACUGAUACUGACACUGAGGUGCGAAAGCGUGGGGAGCAAACAGGAUUAGAUA
rnacentral:rRNA from 1 species